rnacentral:rRNA from 1 species
AUACCCGCUGAACUUAAGCAUAUCAAUAAGCGGAGGAAAAGAAACCAACAGGGAUUGCCCUAGUAACGGCGAGUGAAGCGGCAACAGCUCAAAUUUGAAAUCUGGCUCUUUUAGAGUCCGAGUUGUAAUUUGCAGAGGGCGCUUUGGCUUUGGCAGCGGUCCAAGUUCCUUGGAACAGGACGUCACAGAGGGUGAGAAUCCCGUACGUGGUCGCUGGCUAUUGCCGUGUAAAGCCCCUUCGACGAGUCGAGUUGUUUGGGAAUGCAGCUCUAAAUGGGAGGUACAUUUCUUCUAAAGCUAAAUAUUGGCCAGAGACCGAUAGCGCACAAGUAGAGUGAUCGAAAGAUGAAAAGCACUUUGGAAAGAGAGUCAAACAGCACGUGAAAUUGUUGAAAGGGAAGCGCUUGCAGCCAGACUUGCUUACAGUUGCUCAUCCGGGUUUCUACCCGGUGCACUCUUCUGUAGGCAGGCCAGCAUCAGUUUGGGCGGUAGGAUAAAGGUCUCUGUCACGUACCUCCUUUCGGGGAGGCCUUAUAGGGGAGACGACAUACUACCAGCCUGGACUGAGGUCCGCGCAUCUGCUAGGAUGCUGGCGUAAUGGCUGUAAGCGGCCCGUCUUGAAACACGGACCAAGGAGUCUAACAUCUAUGCGAGUGUUUGGGUGUCAAGCCCGAGCGCGUAAUGAAAGUGAACGGAGGUGGGAACCCGCAAGGGUGCACCAUCGACCGAUCCUGAUGUCUUCGGAAGGAUUUGAGUAAGAGCAUGGCUGUUGGGACCCGAAAGAUGGUGAACUAUGCUUGAAUAGGGUGAAGCCAGAGGAAACUCUGGUGGAGGCUCGCAGCGGUUCUGACGUGCAAAUCGAUCGUCAAAUUUGGGCAUAGGGGCGAAAGACUAAUCGAACUAUCUAGUAGCUGGUUCCUGCCGAAGUUCCCCCUCAGGAA